GGACGAACGCUGGCGGCGUGCCUAACACAUGCAAGUCGAACGGGGAUUUGUUUCGGCAGAAUCCUAGUGGCGAACGGGUGAGUAACGCGUAGGCAACCUGCCCUCCGGCCGGGGACAACACUCCGAAAGGGGUGCUAAUACCGGAUACGAAGUCUGUGCCGCAUGGUACGGAUUUGAAAGAUGGCCUCUAUUUAUAAGCUAUCGCCGGGGGAUGGGCCUGCGUCCGAUUAGCUGGUUGGUGGGGUAACGGCCUACCAAGGCGACGAUCGGUAGCCGGUCUGAGAGGAUGAACGGCCACAUUGGGACUGAGACACGGCCCAGACUCCUACGGGAGGCAGCAGUGGGGAAUCUUCCGCAAUGGGCGCAAGCCUGACGGAGCAACGCCGCGUGAGUGAGGAAGUUCUUCGGAACGUAAAGCUCUGUUGUUCCUGACGAACCUCCCCUCUAUCAACAACGGAGGGGACUGACGGUAGGGAACGAGGAAGCCACGGCUAACUACGUGCCAGCAGCUGC
rnacentral:rRNA from 1 species